AUGCUUAUCAAUUGGUCCAUUUGGAACGAGCGAAAUGCCCAGAUUUUCCGGAAGAAAUCAAUGCCACCUCCAAUCAUCGUUGAAAACAUCAAGAGUGAUGCUGAUCUUUGGAAAAUCACGGGAGCUAAACAUUUGAGUGAUAUCUUACCGGGGGACUAG
rnacentral:rRNA from 1 species